rnacentral:lncRNA from 1 species
GGUUGUUAUCUCAUGGAACAAUAAACACAUAUGAGUGUUGAUUCAAGAUAAGCUACAAUGUCAGUAAAAAUUCUUCUUUUAGUUAGUCAUUCUUGUCCUGUCUUCCUGAGUGAUAGUUUAUAAAUAUAACACAAAUGUCCCAUUUAACUUCUUUGUAAUAACUUAAACAUCAUUAUAUGUGAAAGUUAUUUAAUUUUUCCUUCAACUUGAGUUUUUAAAUGGGUACAUUUCACAAUCUUCAUUAAGGAUACUGUAAGUUGCCGAAAGUUCCAUAUAAUAUCAUUUUAUUCUUAAUGUUGCAUCAGUCUU